rnacentral:rRNA from 1 species
AGAGUUUGAUCAUGGCUCAGAAUCAACGCUGGCGGCGUGCCUAACACAUGCAAGUCGAACGAGAAAGUGGAGCAAUCCAUGAGUAAAGUGGCGACCGGGUGAGUAACACGUGACUACCUGCCCUAGAGUGGGGGGAUAACCUCGGGAAACCGGGGGCUAAUACCGCAUAACAUCGCGAGGGGAAGAUCCUUGUGAUCAAAGGAGCAAUUCGCUCAAGGAGGGGGUCGCGGCUGAUUAGCUAGUUGGUGAAACGGCCCACCAAGGCUUCGAUCAGUAGCCGGCCUGAGAGGGCGCACGGCCACACUGGAACUGAAACACGGUCCAGACUCCUACGGGAGGCAGCAGUGGGGAAUUUUGCGCAAUGGGGGAAACCCUGACGCAGCAACGCCGCGUGGAGGAUGAAGUCCCUUGGGAUGUAAACUCCUUUCGAUCGGGACGAUGAUGACGGUACCGGAAGAAGAAGCACCGGCUANNUUGUGCCAGCAGCCGCGGUAAUACAGAGGGUGCAAGCGUUNNNNGGAAUUAUUGGGCGUAAAGGGCGCGUAGGCGGUGCGGUAAGUCUGUGGUGAAAUCUCUGGGCUCAACUCAGANNNUGCCAUAGAAACUGCCGUGCUGGAGUGUGGGAGAGGUGAGUGGAAUUCCCGGUGUAGCGGUGAAAUGCGUAGAUAUCGGGAGAACACCUGUGGCGAAAGCGGCUCACUGGACCACAACUGACGCUGAGGCGCGAAAGCUUAGGGGGAGCAAACAGGAUUAGAUACCCUAGUAGUCC